GGAAAAAUUAAACGUAUCAUGAAAAUACCAAUUAUUGAACCUAAAACUAUUGGAGGAUUAAUUGCAGAUAUUAAAUUAGUGAGGGGAUUAGCAAGAAGUUACAAAAGUUUAUUGAUGAAUCGUAUGUAUAAUGCCUAAUAGGACGUGUGUGUUAAAAAUUAAAAUUAAUUUUAGGGGAGCUCAGGGUAAGUUGACGUGUUGGGUAAGAUGGAAAAUUGAUCAUAUCAAAAUAACGAUAUUACCGAUAAUCUGCAGAAUUUCUUAAGCAGUAGGUUAUAUUUAAAAAAUGUAUAGACCUUAAAUGCGUCAACCUAACCUUGAGUUCCCCUACUGUAAUUGUAAUUACUUAACAAUAUGCAGUGUUUAUAUAUCAACGUCCAACAGAGCCACAUAGGUCGUGACCGAUCGUAAAAUAAGAUUAUGGUGUUUGAAUGCUGUUACAAAUACUGUUUAUAUUGAAUAUUUAUAUGAUAAAUAAAAAAUAAUAAUUUGGGUAAGUGGAGUUGGUCCAUAGUUGAAAUAUACAAGGUUAUUGCAUUUAUACCCUUUCUAGAUCAAAUAUUUGAUGAUAAAAACAAAAAUGGCAGCGUAAAGGGAACCAAUAAUAAUCAAGUAUACAUACGCGUGAAUAUUGAAUUUGUUAGCUUUUGUCAGUUUGUUUUUGAUGAUAAUACAAAUUUAUAUUGUGAUAUCUCUUUACGCAGCCAUUUUAUUUCUGAUGAUAACAAUCCGAGUCAAUACGCAAUAACCUGUAUAUUUCAACCAUGAAGCCACACUUUCCCCCCGGCUCAAGUGAGUGACUGAAAAAGACAGCGAUCCAGUAAAUUCUUUGCUAGCAUCGGCCGUAAAGUUAAUUGUUAAAUGUUGACCCAUUGCAACGUAAAAAAAACAAUAUAUUGGGUGGGAUUAACCUCAUAGUUUUUCCGUUCAAGUAAAUACUGUAAUAGGUUGUGACUGAUCAUAAAAUAAGAAUAUGGUGUUUGAAUGCUGUUAAAAUUGCUGUUUAUAUUGAAUAUUUAUAUGAUAACUAAAUACAAAAAAAUAAUUUGGGUAAAUGGAGUUGGCCCCCUUUCUCUCCAGGCACAAGUUAGUGACUGUAUAAGGAAGCGACGCAGUAAAUUUAUUGACGGCGUCGGCUACAGUGUUAAUUUUAAACAUCAAUGGGUAUUCCUACGUAAAAAAACAAUGCAUUGGGUGAGAAUAACCUCAUAGUUUUUCCAGUACAAGGAAAUGGUGUAUAAGAACAGGUUAUCCCUGUCCAGGGGUCACAUGUUAAUUCGGA